rnacentral:lncRNA from 1 species
AUCCCUUCAAAGCUCUCAGGCAGUUUUACUUGAGCACAGGGAAGUUUGAGUGUUUAGAUCAGAAAGCCCAAGCUUGCUCUCUGCUGUCACUGAGGAGCUUUGAAUGGCUGCAUUGUGAGGCACUGACCAUAAUGUCCUAGCUGGCCAUUGAUCUUUUCAGACACAUUCUUCUAACUGGGGCAUCCUCGUGGCACGAUGAGCAGAAUAAUAAUUGAGGAAGAAAGCAUACUAAAUCAUCCAAAGGCAGCUCCCCUGGUCUCCACGAUGGUUGGAGCAGGGCAGAGGUUUUCUGAGAGGAGCAGGUGAGUGAGGGGUGCAGCAGCAAAACCUUGUGGUGGAGAGGAAACCUGAGCACCUGAGAAUCCCUGCAUGGAGGGGGGACAGCGCAUGUUUGGCAUUCCUGUUGGUGUUUUCUUGGACAGCAGGGAGAGGCUGGAACAGACACUGACAGUACCAAAAGAGCAUCUGUCUGCUCCUCUUCCUCUGGAAGCUGCAGGCUGCACUGGAGAAGUCCAAGGGUGAGAGAAGCUGCAAAUGGAGAAGGGAAAGGACAUCUGAGAGUCUUCACUAAAUAAUCGGAAGACUGAUGGAUUUCAGACAAAGACAGCAGUUAUAUAAUGCAUUCCUCCUCUGUGAGUAAUCAUAUGCAAAGAUUGACAUGUUUGUGAGUGUUCCCAAAACUGAUCCUGGG